CUUGGUCAUUUAGAGGAAGUAAAAGUCGUAACAAGGUUUCCGUAGGUGAACCUGCGGAAGGAUCAUUAUUGAAAUAAACUUGAUGGGUUGUUGCUGGUUCUCCAGGGAGCAUUGUGCACACCUUGUCAUCUUUAUAUCUCCACCUGUGCACUUUUUGUAGACCUUUUCGGGUCUAUGUUGCCUCAUUUUACCCCAAUGUAUGUCAAUAGAAUGUUGUGCCUAUAUAAUAUAUACAACUUUCAGCAACGGAUCUCUUGGCUCUCGCAUCGAUGAAGAACGCAGCGAAAUGCGAUAAGUAAUGUGAAUUGCAGAAUUCAGUGAAUCAUCGAAUCUUUGAACGCACAUUGCGCCCCUUGGCAUUCCGAGGGGCAUGCCUGUUCGAGCGUCAUUAUGACCACUCAAGCCUGGCUUGGUGUUGGGGCCCGCGGUUCCGCGGCCCUUAAAAUCCGUGGCGGCGCCAUCUGGCUCUAAGCGCAGUAAUACUCCUCGCUACAGAGUCCUGGUGGAUGCUUGCCAGCAACCCCCAAUCUCACGGUUGACCUCGGAUCAGGUAGGGAUACCCGCUGAACUUAAGCAUAUCAAUAAGCGGAGGA
rnacentral:rRNA from 1 species